CGCCUGGUUUAUCAAAAACAUUUUUUUCUAAGAUAAAAUAAAAUAUGGCCUGCCCAGUGAUUAUUAAACGGCUGCGGUAUUUUGACUGUGCUAAGGUAGCAUAAUAAUUUGUUUCUUAAUUGGAAGCUGGAAUGAACGGUUGAGCUGGUUUAAUAAGUUUGUAUAUUUAAAUAGAAAGUUAAAGUCAAGGUAAGAAUUCUUUGAUUAUUUAGGGGACGAUAAGACCCUAUAAGCUUUAUAAAUAUAUAAAUGAUUUUGUUUUUUGAAUUAAUUUAUUUUACUGGGGCGGUACUGGUGUAUUAACUACUAGUUAACUCAAGAUCCUAAAAAUAUGGAUGGCAUGCAAAAGUUACUUUAGGGAUAACAGUGCAAUAUUUUUGGAGAGGCCUUAUCGAUGAAUAUGUUUGCAACCUCGAUGUUGAAUUAAAAUCUCUAUGUGAAGCAGAAGGUACAUGAGA
rnacentral:rRNA from 1 species